GCAACAAGGUGAUGACCGUAGGGCAGGAGACAGGUGGUGGUGGAGCCCCAGCAACAAGGUGAUGACCGUAGGGCAGGAGACAGGUGGUGGUGGAGCCCCAGCAACAAGGUGAUGACCGUAGGGCAGGAGACAGGUGGUGGUGGAGCCCCAGCAACAAGGUGAUGACCGUAGGGCAGGAGACAGGUGGUGGUGGAGCCCCAGCAACAAGGUGCAGACCGU